UGGUCGGUAUUUUGGUGGUCGCGAGGCCGCUGGUCGGUAUUUUGGUGGUCGCGAGGCCGCUGGUCGGUAUUUUGGUGGUCGCGAGGCUUUCCAUUUGGAAUCUUUAGUUUAGACACGCCUGUCUGUAGUUUUCCUUUCUGUAUAGAUCUGUUUCUGUGACCACAUGAUAAUCCACUUGGGCUCACUGACCCAAAGGGGUCAAGACAGAGCCCUGGACCUAAGGUAAGGUUGUCGUCUCCCAAGACAUAAUGAGUCAGGUUACAGACCAUGUAACUAGGACCCCUAGACAGUCAGGUUACAGACCAUGUAGCUAGGACCCCUAGACAGUCAGGUUACAGACCAUGUAACUAGGACCCCUAGACAUAAUGAGUCAGGUUACAGACCAUGUAGCUUGGCCUAAGAGCCCUAGACGUAGCGAGUCUUAACAAUAUCAGCAGGCUUGCUAUGGGUUUCGUAAAAUUGAAA